CCUACGGGAGGCAGCAGUGAGGAAUAUUGGUCAAUGGGCGCAAGUCUGAACCAGCCAUGCCGCGUGCAGGAAGACGGCCCUAUGAGUUGUAAACUGCUUUUGUGCGGGGGUAAACUCAGAUACGCGUAUCUGUAUGCAGGUACCGUAAGAAUAAGGAUCGGCUAACUCCGUUCCAGCAGCCGCGGUAAUACGGAGGGUUCGAGCGUUAUCCGGAUUUAUUGGGUUUAAAGGGUUCGGCGGCCGUCAGUUAAAUUAGGGGUGAAAUCCCGAGGCUCAACUUCGGCACUGCCUCGGAUACUGGUCGGCUUGAGUGUGGUUGAGGUAGGCGGAAUGUGUGGUGUAGCGGUGAAAUGCUUAGAGAUCAUGCAGAACACCGAUUGCGAAGGCAGCCUACCGUGGUACUUCUGACGUUGAGGCACGAAAGCGUGGGGAGCGAACAGGAUUAGAUACCCGAGUAGUC
rnacentral:rRNA from 1 species